UCUCAGACAGAAUCCUGAACUUCAAAAGGUUGCAGAGGGCAGCUCUCAGGUGAUUUUUUUAAAUGACCCACUUCUGGUGACAGGGAGCUUCCCUCUAAUCAUGAUGGGUGUUCUGAACUAAAAUAAAUACCAGACGGAUCCAGGUUUGUCUGAAUUCAUUGUGAUUAUUACAUUCAGCUCCUGUUUCAGUGUGUCUGAAUGGGUAAAUGACAGUUUAGACGACCUGAAUGUGAGGUUUCUCUUAUGUGAAUUUUUAAGGGUAGAACAGUAUUGACCCUAUUCCAAAAUCUGUCCUUGAUCCAUGAUCACACUCAUCUCCCAGAUCAGCUCUUUCAGCACAUCUCCCUACCUAGAAGAAGAGGACUCUGGGCUAGGGGAGGGGAGGCCCCAGAAAGACAACUGGGUUCUCAGAGGGCACAGCCAGCAUCCUCCUCCCAGGGAGAGCCUGAAAGGCUGGGGCCUCCUCAUCCUUUUUAACCGCUCCAUACAAAGGCACCACCCACAUGCAAAUCCUCACUUAGGCACCCACAGGAAACCACCACACGUUUCCUUAAAUUCAGGGUCCUGCUCACAUGGGAAAUGCUUUCUGAGAGUCAUGGGCCUCACGUGCAAGAGCAUGAAACACCUGUGGUUCUUCCUCCUCCUGGUGGCAGCUUCCAGACGUGAGUGGGUCCUGUCCCAGGUGCAGCUGCAGGAGUCGGGCCCAGGACUGGUGAAGCCUUCGGAGACCCUGUCCCUCACCUGCACUGUCUCUGGUUCCUCCAUCAGCAGUGAUUACUGGUGGAGCUGGAUCCGCCAGCCUCCAGGGAAGGGGCUGGAGUGGAUUGGGAGCAUCUAUCAUAGUGGGAGCAGCAACUACGACCCAUCCCUCAAGAGUCGAGUCACCCUAUCAGUAGACACGUCCAAGAGCCAGUUCUCCCUGAGGCUGAGCUCUGUGACCGCCGCGGACACGGCCGUGUAUUACUGUGCGAGACACAGUGAGUGGAGGUGAGUGUGAGCCCAGACACAAACCUCACUUCAGGGCGGCGGGGCGGGCGCAGGUUCUGCUCAGGACCAGCAGGGGGCGCGCGGGACCCGCAGAGCCCGAGGCGGGUCUGGAGCAGGUGCAGGGAGGGCGGGGCUUCCUCACGGGCUCAGUGGGCUCCCUCCCCGCCAGCACCUGAGUU